rnacentral:lncRNA from 1 species
CCAGCGAAAUACCUCUUUAAUGCUUAAUGUGGCAGUCACCUUUGGAUCUGACUUCCCUUCUGACAGUUCACCACCCUGUGAACUGGUUCCAUUGUCUUCCCUGGAAAGGUAGUUCCCUUUCUUAGCCUCCUAUUCACUUCUGUUGGCCUCUUUUUCCUUCCUGCUGUUUCUCCUAAAACAUUUUGCUGGCCUUCAAUAAUA